AGAGUUUGAUCAUGGCUCAGAUUGAACGCUGGCGGAAUGCUUUACACAUGCAAGUCGAGCGGCAGCACGGGGGCAACCCUGGUGGCGAGCGGCGAACGGGUGAGUAACACAUCGGAACGUACCCUGUCGUGGGGGAUAACGAGUCGAAAGAUUCGCUAAUACCGCAUACGACCCGGGGGUGAAAGCGGGGGAUCGCAAGACCUCGCGCGACUGGAGCGGCCGAUGGCGGAUUAGCUAGUUGGUGGGGUAAAGGCCCACCAAGGCGACGAUCCGUAGCGGGUCUGAGAGGACGGCCCGCCACACUGGGACUGAGACACGGCCCAGACUCCUACGGGAGGCAGCAGUGGGGAAUUUUGGACAAUGGGGGCAACCCUGAUCCAGCCAUUCCGCGUGUGUGAAGAAGGCCUUCGGGUUGUAAAGCACUUUAAGCAGGGAGGAAGGCUCGCAGAUUAAUAAUCUGCGGGAGUGACGUUACCUGCAGAAUAAGCACCGGCAAACUCCGUG
rnacentral:rRNA from 1 species